rnacentral:lncRNA from 1 species
AUGUCCGCAGCAGUCUCCCGCAACUUCCCAGUCUCACGCCGGGCACGGUACCGCACCGCCUCCCGCGCGCUCGGCACGUCUGAGGGAGACCCUCCCGCCGGGCCAGGGCCGCCUUCGCCUCACCUGUCGGGUCCCGACGCGCAGGACGCCCAGGACGCCGGGGCUGGCCACCUGCCUUCGAACACGCGAUCAGGCGGCGACGGCGCAGGCCGGGGAGCCGAGAGCGGGCCGCGCCGUCACAGGCCCGCGAGGCGGGCGGCUGACCGCCCGGCGGGGGGCUCCCCGGGCCGGGCUCCGGAGGAGAGCGCCUGCCGUCUUCGGCGGUGCCACGGUCGCCCCGGAGCCGAGCCGCAGGCAGGCUGCAGGACAAGGAGCCGGCCUCGGCCAGAGCGCGGGACCGCCGGGAGCGGAGCGGGGCGCAGAGCGGCGGCGGCCGCCACCAGCCCGCAGCGAGCCGCAGGGACCCGCGGGGCGGGGCGGGGCGGGGCGCGGCCGGGAACAGCUCCGCAAUGGCGGCUGGCGCCGCGGCCGGCAGCACUCGCGUGCGGCCCGCGCUUCGCUCUCGCAACGGCUGAGGCGGGGACGACGGCAGGGCCCCNNNNNNNNNNNNNNNNNAGCUGUCGGCACGGCCCGGGCUGCGGCGGGGCUGCGCGCCGGGGCCGGGUACGGUACGGCUCCGUCUGCGGGCGACUCCGCGCAGCGCGCGCCUGGUGCCGCCUCGCCCCCUCAGUCCCCUCCUCCGGGGCGCUCGCGGGCCCGCCCUGCCGACCGCGCCUCAGCGGGCGGUGCAGUCGGGUUGGGGGGGCGGGGGGCUGUGGGCGCCCCCUGGCGCACGGGCGGCGCUGCGCUCCUGCUCGUGGCGAGCCGCGGAGGCGGGUUCGUCCUUUCCGUGCGAAGCCGAGGAAAGGGGGAUUGCGGCCUCCCCGCUCCCCAGCGGCGGGCGUGCCAGUUCGUGCGGGAUUGUGCUUCUCAGGGCCGAGCCCAGCACGGCCACCGCCGUGCCCGAGGCAGCGCGCAACGCUCCUGCCCUGCUCAGCCCGGCGCUCCCGCGCUCCGUGUGCAGGGCGGCGGCAGGCAGGUAACGCCCAGGGGCUUCGCUCGAAGCUGGUCAGCAUCAGAGCAACUGGAGCUGGAGGAUGGCCCAGUUUUCAAGCCUUUUCUAGAUAA